rnacentral:tRNA from 2 species
AUGCAGGUAGCUCAAUUGGUAGAGCAGCGGUCUCCAAAACCGCCGGUUGCAGGUUCGAGUCCUGCCCUGUGUGCCA